CCUCUUUGCGCUUGCCGUGUAAGAUAUAGUGCUAAUAAAUAUGUGGUGUCACGAUAUUGGCCGUGAGCAGGCUGCAAAUAAGCCUCUCCUCAAAACUGUAUUUCAGGUCAUGAUGAGAUUGUUCAGUCCACAUAAAACAACACUAAUGUUUGUCAUACGUGAUAAAACAAGG